UGGCGGGACGGGUGAGUAACGCGUGGAAAACCUGCCGUAUACUGGGGGAUAACACUUAGAAAUAGGUGCUAAUACCGCAUAAGCGCACAGCUUCGCAUGAAGCGGUGUGAAAAACUCUGGUGGUAUACGAUGGUUCCGCGUCUGAUUAGCUAGUUGGUGGGGUAAUGGCCUACCAAGGCAACGAUCAGUAGCCGGCCUGAGAGGGUGAACGGCCACAUUGGGACUGAGACACGGCCCAAACUCCUACGGGAGGCAGCAG
rnacentral:rRNA from 1 species